rnacentral:rRNA from 1 species
CUGGCGGCAGGCCUAACACAUCAAGUCGAGCGGAAACGAGUUAUCUGAACCUUCGGGGAACGAUAACGGCGUCGAGCGGCGGACGGGUGAGUAAUGCCUAGGAAAUUGCCCUGAUGUGGGGGAUAACCAUUGGAAACGAUGGCUAAUACCGCAUGAUGCCUACGGGCCAAAGAGGGGGACCUUCGGGCCUCUCGCGUCAGGAUAUGCCUAGGUGGGAUUAGCUAGUUGGUGAGGUAAGGGCUCACCAAGGCGACGAUCCCUAGCUGGUCUGAGAGGAUGAUCAGCCACACUGGAACUGAGACACGGUCCAGACUCCUACGGGAGGCAGCAGUGGGGAAUAUUGCACAAUGGGCGCAAGCCUGAUGCAGCCAUGCCGCGUGUGUGAAGAAGGCCUUCGGGUUGUAAAGCACUUUCAGUCGUGAGGAAGGUAGUGUAGUUAAUAGCUGCAUUAUUUGACGUUAGCGACAGAAGAAGCACCGGCUAACUCCGUGCCAGCAGCCGCGGUAAUACGGAGGGUGCGAGCGUUAAUCGGAAUUACUGGGCGUAAAGCGCAUGCAGGUGGUUUGUUAAGUCAGAUGUGAAAGCCCGGGGCUCAACCUCGGAAUUGCAUUUGAAACUGGCAGACUAGAGUACUGUAGAGGGGGGUAGAAUUUCAGGUGUAGCGGUGAAAUGCGUAGAGAUCUGAAGGAAUACCGGUGGCGAAGGCGGCCCCCUGGACAGAUACUGACACUCAGAUGCGAAAGCGUGGGGAGCAAACAGGAUUAGAUACCCUGGUAGUCCACGCCGUAAACGAUGUCUACUUGGAGGUUGUGGCCUUGAGCCGUGGCUUUCGGAGCUAACGCGUUAAGUAGACCGCCUGGGGAGUACGGUCGCAAGAUUAAAACUCAAAUGAAUUGACGGGGGCCCGCACAAGCGGUGGAGCAUGUGGUUUAAUUCGAUGCAACGCGAAGAACCUUACCUACUCUUGACAUCCAGAGAACUUUCCAGAGAUGGAUUGGUGCCUUCGGGAACUCUGAGACAGGUGCUGCAUGGCUGUCGUCAGCUCGUGUUGUGAAAUGUUGGGUUAAGUCCCGCAACGAGCGCAACCCUUAUCCUUGUUUGCCAGCGAGUAAUGUCGGGAACUCCAGGGAGACUGCCGGUGAUAAACCGGAGGAAGGUGGGGACGACGUCAAGUCAUCAUGGCCCUUACGAGUAGGGCUACACACGUGCUACAAUGGCGCAUACAGAGGGCGGCCAACUUGCGAAAGUGAGCGAAUCCCAAAAAGUGCGUCGUAGUCCGGAUUGGAGUCUGCAACUCGACUCCAUGAAGUCGGAAUCGC